rnacentral:rRNA from 1 species
AGAGUUUGAUCCUGGCUCAGAUUGAACGCUGGCGGCAUGCUUAAUACAUGCAAGUCGAACGGUAACAGGUUCUUCGGAAUGCUGACGAGUGGCGCACGGGUGCGUAACGCGUAUAGAACCUACCUUUUACAGGGGAAUAGCCCAGAGAAAUUUGGAUUAAUGCCCCAUAGUAUUAUAAAAUGGCAUCAUUUAAUAAUUAAACAUUUAUGGGUAAAAGAUGGCUAUGCGUUCUAUUAGCUAGAUGGUAAGGUAACGGCUUACCAUGGCGACGAUAGAUAGGGGUCCUGAGAGGGAGAUCCCCCACACUGGUACUGAGACACGGACCAGACUCCUACGGGAGGCAGCAGUGAGGAAUAUUGGACAAUGGAGGCAACUCUGAUCCAGCCAUGCCGCGUGCAGGAAGACGGCCCUAUGGGUUGUAAACUGCUUUUAUACAGGAAGAAACCACUCCUCGUGAGGGAGCUUGACGGUACUGUAAGAAUAAGGAUCGGCUAACUCCGUGCCAGCAGCCGCGGUAAUACGGAGGAUCCAAGCGUUAUCCGGAAUCAUUGGGUUUAAAGGGUCCGUAGGUGAUAAAUUAAGUCAGGGGUGAAAGUCUGCAGCUCAACUGUAGAAUUGCCUUUGAUACUGGUUAUCUUGAGUUAUUAUGAAGUAGUUAGAAUAUGUAGUGUAGCGGUGAAAUGCAUAGAUAUUACAUAGAAUACCGAUUGCGAAGGCAGAUUACUAAUAAUAUACUGAAACUGAUGGACGAAAGCGUGGGGAGCGAACAGGAUUAGAUACCCUGGUAGUCCACGCCGUAAACGAUGGUUACUAGCUAGCUGUUCGCACUUCGGUUUGAGUGGCUAAGCGAAAGUGAUAAGUAACCCACCUGGGGAGUACGUUCGCAAGAAUGAAACUCAAAGGAAUUGACGGGGGCCCGCACAAGCGGUGGAGCAUGUGGUUUAAUUCGAUAAUACGCGAGGAACCUUACCAGGGCUUAAAUGUAGAUUGACAGGGGUGGAAACACCUUUUCCUUCGGGCAAUUUACAAGGUGCUGCAUGGUUGUCGUCAGCUCGUGCCGUGAGGUGUCAGGUUAAGUCCUAUAACGAGCGCAACCCCUGUUGUUAGUUGCCAGCGAGUCAUGUCGGGAACUCUAACAAGACUGCCGGUGCAAACCGUGAGGAAGGUGGGGAUGACGUCAAAUCAUCACGGCCCUUACGUCCUGGGCCACACACGUGCUACAAUGGUAGGUACAGAGAGCAGCCACUGCGCAAGCAGGAGCGAAUCUAUAAACUAUAUCUCAGUUCGGAUCGGAGUCUGCAACUCGACUCCGUGAAGCUGGAGUCGCUAGUAAUCGGAUAUCAGCCAUGAUCCGGUGAAUACGUUCCCGGGCCUUGUACACACCGCCCGUCAAGCCAUGGAAGCUGAGGGUACCUGAAGUCGGUCACCGCAAGGAGCCGCCUAGGGUAAAAUUGGUAACUAGGGCUAAGUCGGAACAAGGUAGCCGU